rnacentral:rRNA from 1 species
CGCAUCUGUGCAUGCAGCAUAUCAAUAAGCGGAGGAAAAGAAACUAACAAGGAUUCCCCUAGUAACGGCGAGUGAAGCGGGAAGAGCUCAAAUUUGAAAUCUUAAAGGGUUUCCCUUUACGAAUUGUAGUUUAAAGAAGUGUUUUCUGUUGAGGUUUUGGUAAAAGUUCUUUGGAAUAGGACAUCAUAGAGGGUGAGAACCCCGUAUUUGACCUUUACUUUCAACUUUGUGAUACACUUUCAAAGAGUCGGAUUGUUUGGGAAUGCAGUCCAAAAUGGGUGGUAAAUUUCAUCUAAAGCUAAAUAUUGGCGAGAGACCGAUAGCGAACAAGUACCGUGAGGGAAAGAUGAAAAGAACUUUGAAAAGAGAGUUAAACAGUACGUGAAAUUGUCAAAAGGGAAGCGUUUGACACCAGUGUUGUUUUUCUGAAAAUCAAUUAAAGAACUGUUUAUGCUAAGCUGUUUAGACUUUAUCAGCUAAUCUGUUUAGUUUUGAGCUUUUCUUUAAUGCACUUUUCAGUUAACAAGUCAACAUCAAUUUCUUUUGCUGUAAAAAAGCUCGAGGAAGGUGGCUUGAGAUUCGUCUUAAGUGUUUAUAGCCUCUUGCCUAUGCAGUCGGAGAGAUUGAGGUCUGCAGCGUAGAUCCUCCGGGGCUAAAUGCAUUUGUGCUAAGUUAUAGCAUUUUAUAGACAACUUGUUGACUAUGAUUUGUCUUGUAGCUUACUCGCUUAUGUUAUUUUACCUACGCUUAGGAUGUUGAACGCGCACAGAGUCUC